rnacentral:rRNA from 1 species
UGAGGAACAUGACCUUCGGCGGGGGAUAGCCGGCCCAACGGCCGGGUAAUACCGCGUACGACCACAUGGGGACAUCCCUGAGUGGUGAAAGCAGCAAUGCGCCGAUGGAGUGCCUCGCGGCCUAUCAGCUAGUUGGUGAGGUAACGGCUCACCAAGGCAACGACGGGUAGCUGGUCUGAGAAGAUGGCCAGCCACAUUGGGACUGAGACACGGCCCAGACCUNUACGGGGAGG